rnacentral:misc_RNA from 1 species
UCCGUGUUAACCACGGCAGUCUCGCCAGACACUUGUAACUGGCAAUAGGGGUUGCGCUCGUUAUCCGACUUAACGGUACAUUUCACAACACGAGCUGACGACAACCGUGCAGCACCUGUCUCCAGUGUCCGAAGAGGGGCUCUAUUUCUAGUGCCUUUCACUGGGAUGUCAAACCUUGGUGAGGUGCCCGGCUUACCAUCCAAUUAAACCACAUGCUCCACCGCUUGUGCGGGUCCCCGUCAAUUCCUUUGAGUUUUAAUCUUGCGAUCGUACUACCCAGGCGGGAUACUUAACGCGUUAGCUUCAGCACCAAGGGGGUCGAUGCCACUGAUGCUUAGUAUCCAUCGUUUAGGGCGUGGACUAC